AUGCAAAUUCCCGUGAUUCACAGCACAAAUGCCAAUUCACACCAUUUCUUCCAUCUAAAGAAAAACCUUUUUACUCCGAAAACAACUACUUUUCCACUCGCCCCCUCUUGCCUAUACAUAUAUAGCAAAAAGGGUGUGAAAGACAUCGACAGAUUAACCCCCAGCUCGUAUCUCUGUGAAAAGGGCGUAGAUUUCUUGCUUUAUUUUGUGGUUGGGGAUUGGUGGAGUGAAACUACCUUGUUCCCAUUUUCGGAAAUAGCAAGUUUUUUGUGUUUAAUAGGGAUAAAGAUUUGAUUUUUAUUAGGUUGAGGGGGAUGGGGAUAGUGUACGAUGAUGCUGUGAUGAUCAGUCAGUCGGAGAGGGAAGAGGAGCCUAGUGUGAUAACUGUGAAUUGUCCGGAUAAGACUGGUUUAGGGUGUGAUCUUUGCCGCAUAAUCCUCUUCUUUGGGCUUACUGUUGUUAGAAUCGAUGUAUCAACCGAUGGGAAAUGGUGCUACAUAGUGUUCUGGGUGGUGGGGAGGCCAAGCACGCGAUGGAGCUUGUUGAAAAAGAGAUUGAUGGGGGUGUGCCCUUCUUUUCUGUUGGCUAACGGGAUUUCAUACGAUAGGCCCGAGCUGAGCCCCCCCAAGCCCCCGGACAUGUACCUCUUGAAGUUCUGUUGCUUUGACAGAAGGGGCCUUCUGCAUGAUGUAACGGGGGUUCUCUGUGAGCUCGAGCUUACGAUAAAGAGAGUGAAAGUGUCAACGACUCCGGAUGGAAAAGUCAUGGACCUCUUCUUUAUAACCGACUCAAGAGAGCUUUUGCAUACAAAGAAGAGAAAGGAGGACACAUGUGACCAUUUAAAAGCUGUUUUGGGGGAUGGGACCAUCAGCUGCAGCAUAGAAAGGGUGGGGCCCGAAAUCACAUCGUCUUCUCAAGGGCCCUCGUUUCUUUCGUGUGGAAUCACCGAGGAUAUGCUGCUGAAUCCAAACGAAGACGACCCCAUCUCCUUUAAAUGCCCCUCGAUCACCAUGGAUAACUUGUUGAGUCCCUCUCACACGCUAGUCCAAAUCGUUUGCCGGGACCACAAAGGCCUUUUAUACGACGUGAUGAGAACUCUGAAGGACUGCGACAUCCAGGUCUCGUAUGGACGCCUGACAAGGAAAGGAAGCACGGAGUGCGAGCUCGACUUGUUUAUCAUGCAAGUAGAUGGUAAGAAGAUAGUCGACCCCAACAGACAGAAUUCGUUGAGCACUCGUCUUCAGGUGGAGCUGAGCCGUCCGCUGAGAUUAUUAUUGAUCAACCGUGGCCCUGACACUGAGCUGCUCGUUGCAAAUCCCAUCGAGUUGUCUGGGAAGGGCCGUCCCAUGGUGUUCCACGACAUAACUCUUGCACUCAAGACGCUAAACAGACCUAUCUUCUCGGCAGAAAUCGCAAGGCAUGGCAUCGGGGGUCGUGAGUGGGAAAUUUACAGAGUUCUACUCGACGAAGGGGAAAAUGGCUCUGCUUCAAAGAAAGAGAUAGAGGAGACGGUGUGGAGAAUGCUAAUGAGCUGGGAGUAACAAUAACGUCCGUGCUCGUUGAAAGCUUCAACGCAGGAUCAGCCGAUAUAACAUAUUUCUGUCUGGAUUCUUGAAGUACCAUCCAUUGACGAAUGCUGCGAAAAUCCCUUGAGCUGCCAGCACGAAGACCAGCAUCGCGUUCAUCCCAAUCCACUCCAGGAACAAGAAUGGCGUUCGCAGUCAUAGACAUCAAUCUGCAAACACUCACUCACACUGUUGUUACAAGAUGGCCACGUCUAGAACUUGUCGGGUGAAUCUGAGUUUUUAGAUGGCUACCACUAUGUAUAAGACAGAGAAAGCGAUGCCUGCUGCACCGGCUGUGAAGCAGACGUAGCUGAAGCUAUAUAGCUGCUUGUUGAUGGGAAUAGCUGCAAGAAAAUACGUUUCGUUUAUUUUUCGUGUUUUUUCUAGAUGGUAGAAUGGGAGAGGAUUGUGUAUGACUCUAUAAGUAUAUACCAUCUGUGAAAUGAAGAACACAUGCUACAAUUAGUAGCGAAACUCCCAUCGA